rnacentral:rRNA from 1 species
GAUGAACGCUAGCGGCAGGCCUAACACAUGCAAGUCGAGGGGCAGCACAUAAAGUGGUUUACUACUUUUGGUGGCGACCGGCGGACGGGUGCGUAACGCGUAUGCAACCUGCCUCCAACAGGGGGAUAACGGAGAGAAAUUUCCACUAAUACCCCAUAAUAUCAGAAUCGGCAUCGGUUUUGGUUGAAAACUCCGGUGGUUGGAGAUGGGCAUGCGUUGUAUUAGAGAGUUGGUGAGGUAACGGCUCACCAAGUCAACGAUACAAAGGGGGACUGAGAGGUUAGCCCCCCACACUGGUACUGAGACACGGACCAGACUCCUACGGGAGGCAGCAGUGAGGAAUAUUGGUCAAUGGGGGCAACCCUGAACCAGCCAUGCCGCGUGCAGGAAGACGGCUCUAUGAGUUGUAAACUGCUUUUACAAGGGGAUAAAUCGGCGUACGUGUACACCGUUGAAGGUACCUUGGGAAUAAGGAUCGGCUAACUCCGUGCCAGCCGCCGCAGUAA